rnacentral:rRNA from 1 species
ACGAACGCUGGCGGCGUGCUUAACACAUGCAAGUCGAGCGCUGAAGCUCCUUCGGGGGUGGAUGAGCGGCGAACGGGUGAGUAACACGUGGGUGACCUGCCCUCAGCUCUGGGAUAAGCCUGGGAAACGUGGGUCUAAUACCGGAUACGACGCUUCGGUGCAUGCCGUUGCGUGGAAAGCCAGUUACAUUAUUUCUGGCGGCGUGGGGAGUGGGCCCGCGGCCUAUCAGCUUGUUGGUGGGGUGAUGGCCUACCAAGGCGGUGACGGGUAGCCGGCCUGAGGAGGGCGACCGGCCACACUGGGACUGAGACACGGCCCAGACUCCUACCGGGAGGCAGCAGUGGGGAAUAUUGCGCAAUGGGCGGAAGCCUGACGCAG